UUUUUUUUUUUUGAGGUGGAGUUUCACUCUUGUCGCCCAGGCUGGAGUGCAGUAGUAUGAUCUUGGCUCACUGCAACUUCUACCUCCAGGGUUCAAGUGAUUCUCCUGUCUCAGCCUCCUGAGUAGCUGAGACUACAGGCACAUACCACCACACCCAGCUAAUUUUUGUAUUUUUAAUAGAGACGGGGUUUCACUAUGUUGGCCAGGCUGGUCUCAAAUGCCUGACCUUGAGUGAUCCACCCGCCUCGGCCUCCCAAAGAGCUGGGAUUACAGGUGUGAGCCACCAGGCCCGGCCUCCUAGAUUAAUUCUUGACAUUUUUUGGAUCAAGUAAGAACCACUGGAGCCUUUCCUGGAAAAAAGAACACAUACUCAGUCUCACACACAAUUUCUGGGGGCUCACAGACCCUCUUGAAGCCUAUCCAUAAACCCCCUGGUGAAGUCCCCCUGCCCGAUAGCCUGAGGGAAGACAUGUGAGUGGAUAUAUGUGCACUAACAGGGGCGAAGACAGACCUGGAUGGUCUGCAAUCCCAGAGAGCAUGAGGCACCAUGUCCCAAAGCUUGGUAUGUGGCCCUGGGCUCCUCCCCCAAUUUUAUCUCUCUGAAGAAGCUGAGUUUUUUUUUUUUUUUUUGAGACGGAGUCUCACUCUGUCACCAGGCUGGAGUGCAGUGGCACGAUCUCAGCUUACUGCAAUCUCUGCCUCCCGGGUUCAAGCGAUUCUCCUGCCUCAGCCUCCUGAGCAGCUGGGAUUACAGGCGCCCACCACGCCCGGCUUUUUGUAUUUUUAGUAGAGACGGGGUUUUGCCAUGUUGGCCAGGCUGGUCUGCAACUCCUAGCCUCAGCCUGGCCAACAUGGUGAAACCCUGUCUCUACUAAAAAUAC
rnacentral:lncRNA from 10 species